AUUGAACGCUGGCGGCAUGCCUAACACAUGCAAGUCGAACGGUAACGGACCGCUGGGAUUCCUUCGGGAUGACCUUGGUGCCGACGAGUGGCGGACGGGUGAGUAACACUUAGGAAUCUGCCCAGUAGUGGGGGACAACAUUCGGAAACGGAUGCUAAUACCGCAUACGCCCUACGGGGGAAAGCGGGGGAUCUUCGGACCUCGCGCUAUUGGAUGAGCCUAAGUCGGAUUAGCUUGUUGGUGAGGUAAAGGCUCACCAAGGCGACGAUCCGUAGCUGGUCUGAGAGGACGAUCAGCCACACUGGGACUGAGACACGGCCCAGACUCCUACGGGAGGCAGCAGUGGGGAAUAUUGGACAAUGGGGGCAACCCUGAUCCAGCAAUGCCGCGUGUGUGAAGAAGGCCUGCGGGUUGUAAAGCACUUUCAGUAGAGAAGAAAAGCCUAGGGUUAAUACCCCUGAGUCUUGACGUAACCUACAGAAGAAGCACCGGCUAACUCCGUG
rnacentral:rRNA from 1 species